rnacentral:rRNA from 1 species
GAUGAACGCUGGCGGCGUGCCUAACACAUGCAAGUCGAGCGAACAGACCAUGAGCUUGUUCCUUCCACGUUUGCGGCGGACGGGUGUGUAACACGUAUAUCAUCUACUUAUAUGUCUGGGAUCAUCUCGGGAAACCGGAGCUUAUCCCGGAUAAUCUUCCGAUCCGUUUGGUUCGUUAGUGAAUGAUGGCUUUGCUAUAUCUAAUAGCUGCUUCUGGGCCGUAUUAGCUAGUUGGUAAGGUAACGGCUUACCAAGGCUACGAUACGUAUCCGACCUGAGAGGGGGAUCGGCGACACUGGAAGUGAGACACGGUCCAGACUCCUACGGGAGGCAGCAGUAGGGAAUCUGCCGCAAUGGGCGAAAGCCUGACGGAGCAACGCCGCGUGAGUGAUGAAGGUCUUCGGAGCGUAAAGCUCUGUUAUUGGGUAAGAACAGACGUGGAAGGAACUGUACACGUCGUGACGGUACCUAAUCAAAAAGCAACGGCUAACUACGUG